rnacentral:rRNA from 1 species
UGGAAAGAUUUAUCGGUUUUGGAUGGACUCGCGGCCUAUCAGCUUGUUGGUGAGGUAAUGGCUCACCAAGGCGACGACGGGUAGCCGGCCUGAGAGGGUGACCGGCCACACUGGGACUGAGACACGGCCCAGACUCCUACGGGAGGCAGCAGUGGGGAAUAUUGCACAAUGGGCGCAAGCCUGAUGCAGCGACGCCGCGUGAGGGAUGACGGCCUUCGGGUUGUAAACCUCUUUCAGUAGGGAAGAAGCGAAAGUGACGGUACCUGCAGAAGAAGCACCGGCUAACUACGUGCCAGCAGCCGCGGUAAUACGUAGGGUGCGAGCGUUAUCCGGAAUUAUUGGGCGUAAAGAGCUCGUAGGCGGUUUGUCGCGUCUGUCGUGAAAGUCCGGGGCUUAACCCCGGAUCUGCGGUGGGUACGGGCAGACUAGAGUGCAGUAGGGGAGACUGGAAUUCCUGGUGUAGCGGUGGAAUGCGCAGAUAUCAGGAGGGACACCGAUGGCGAAGGCAGGUCUCUGGGCUGUAACUGACGCUGAGGAGCGAAAGCAUGGGGAGCGAACA